rnacentral:lncRNA from 1 species
CUGGACAAAGCAGUUUCAGAAGCAGAAUGGUUUUCUGGAAUCCAAAACUGAGAAGGAUGCCUAGCAAAAGAAUUCCAGAAUGGAUGCAUUACAGAAGCUAUGAUCAAACAGAGUUCCUGUGUUCCGGAUCUCUUGCCUCGCCUUAUUGGCCAAAUGUGGUUACAAAGUCCUCAACACAGAAAGGUUGACCUUAUUUCCAGGUGAACAGGGAAAUUCAGGGGUGGGACUUCAAUGUGCAUGCUCUCAACCUUAAGACCUACACAUAUUCAGGUUAAGUGCAUAAACAGGGCUUAAAUGUAUAUCUUUGGAACAGGUUUCAUACCUUUUAACAAAAAGUCUAAUCAUCCCUGGUGUAGGUGCUGCAGAACUGCCAUCCUCACCUCUAAACAUUUACUUUGGAGUUUUGCUUGCCUGAGUGCAAGUUAGUAAGAUUCUACGCUCUUUAAAAAAAUCCUAUAUUUGCUAGUAAAAUUACUUAAAUUAUUACUACAAUGCCCAAUUGAGGGCAUUAGUUGAGCAUU